ACGGAAGGCAGCAGUGGGGAAUAUUGGACAAUGGGGGAAACCCUGAUCCAGCGACGCCGCGUGAGUGAUGAAGUAUUUCGGUAUGUAAAGCUCUAUCAGCAAGGAAGAAAAUGACGGUACUUGACUAAGAAGCUCCGGCUAAAUACGUGCCAGCAGCCGCGGUAAUACGUAUGGAGCAAGCGUUAUCCGGAUUUACCGGGUGUAAAGGGAGCGUGGACGGCAAAGCAAGUCUGAAGUGAAAUCCCGGGGCUCAACCCCGGAACUGCUUUGGAAACUGUUUAGCUAGAGUGCCGGAGAGGUAAGCGGAAUUCCUAGUGUAGCGGUGAAAUGCGUAGAUAUUAGGAGGAACACCAGUGGCGAAGGCGGCUUACUGGACUGUAACUGACGUUGAGGCUCGAAAGCGUGGGGAGCAAACAGGAUUAGAUACCCUGGUA
rnacentral:rRNA from 1 species